CGGGCGUUAAGUUGCAGGGUAUAGACCCGAAACCCGGUGAUCUAGCCAUGGGCAGGUUGAAGGUUGGGUAACACUAACUGGAGGACCGAACCGACUAAUGUUGAAAAAUUAGCGGAUGACCUGUGGCUGGGGGUGAAAGGCCAAUCAAACCGGGAGAUAGCUGGUUCUCCCCGAAAGCUAUUUAGGUAGCGCCUCGUGAAUUCAUCUCCGGGGGUAGAGCACUGUUUCGGCUAGGGGGCCAUCCCGGCUUACCAACCCGAUGCAAACUGCGAAUACCGGAGAAUGUUAUCACGGGAGACACACGGCGGGUGCUAACGUCCGUCGUGAAGAGGGAAACAACCCAGACCGCCAGCUAAGGUCCCAAAGUCAUGGUUAAGUGGGAAACGAUGUGGGAAGGCCCAGACAGCCAGGAUGUUGGCUUAGAAGCAGCCAUCAUUUAAAGAAAGCGUAAUAGCUCACUGGUCGAGUCGGCCUGCGCGGAAGAUGUAACGGGGCUAAACCAUG
rnacentral:rRNA from 6 species